UCGCCCGGGAACUACGAGCAAAGCUUAAAACCCAAAGGACUUGACGGUACCCCAUAUCCACCUAGAGGAGCCUGUCCUAUAAUCGAUAACCCCCGCUUAACCUCACCAUUUUUAGCCUCUCAGCCUGUAUACCUCCGUCGUCAGCUUACCACGUGAGCGCAAAUCAGUAAGCUUAAUGUCCUUGCGUCAAUACGUCAGGUCAAGGUGCAGUAAAUAAAAUGGGAAGAGAUGGGCUACACUUUCUACCUUAGAAUAAACGGAAAACUAUUUAUGAAAUCUAGUUAGAAGGCGGAUUUAGUAGUAAAAAGAAAUCAGAGAGUUCUUUUUAACCCGGCACUGGGGUGUGU
rnacentral:rRNA from 1 species